rnacentral:tRNA from 1 species
CAGGGAGACAACAAAAUGUUAAAUAUUAAUUUUGUCACCUUAGGUCGAUCGGUAUCUCACAUUCUUAAUUUAUUUAAGGAUUUUAUUUCCUAAGUUUUUCUAGGUCACACCCAUUAUUUUUCCUGGGCCAUUAGCUCAGGUGGUUAGAGCGCACCCCUGAUAAGGGUGAGGUCCCUGGUUCAAGUCCAGGAUGGCCCAUAUCUCUAUGUUGGGGGUAUAGCUCAGUUGGUAGAGCGCCUGCUUUGCAAGCAGGAUGUCAGCGGUUCGAGUCCGCUUACCUCCACUGAUUACCACCUCUUCCAUAAUUUAUAGAAGGGAAACAUUUUUUAGGUGUGAUCCAAUUCUGAACGAAUCUAGCUUCCUAAUGAAAUCAUUAAGAUGCUGGACUCAUUGAAUUAAUUUCAUUGUUUUCAGAGAACCUUGACAACUGCAUAGAUUAUUUUUAAAGACAAUAAGCAUCUUUAAUGAUGCAGAUUUAUUAUUUGUGCGAAUGCAUUAAUAACAAUUCUAUUAAGCUGAUGCUUCAAUUUUGAAGUUAUU